AUAAGCAAAAUAAGGGCGUAUGGGGAAUGCCUAGGCUCUCAGAGGCGAAGAAGGACGUGAUA
rnacentral:rRNA from 1 species